GAUGAACGCUGGCGGCGUGCCUAAUACAUGCAAGUCGAGCGAACAGACGAGGAGCUUGCUCCUCUGACGUUAGCGGCGGACGGGUGAGUAACACGUGGAUAACCUACCUAUAAGACUGGGAUAACUUCGGGAAACCGGAGCUAAUACCGGAUAAUAUAUUGAACCGCAUGGUUCAAUAGUGAAAGACGGUUUUGCUGUCACUUAUAGACGGAUCCGCGCCGCAUUAGCUAGUUGGUAAGGUAACGGCUUACCAAGGCAACGAUGCGUAGCCGACCUGAGAGGGUGAUCGGCCACACUGGAACUGAGACACGGUCCAGACUCCUACGGGAGGCAGCAGUAGGGAAUCUUCCGCAAUGGGCGAAAGCCUGACAGAGCAACGCCGCGUGAGUGAUGAAGGUCUUCGGAUCGUAAAACUCUGUUAUUAGGGAAGAACAAAUGUGUAAGUAACUGUGCACGUCUUGACGGUACCUAAUCAGAAAGCCACGGCUAACUACGUG
rnacentral:rRNA from 1 species